CCUACGGGAGGCAGCAGUGAGGAAUAUUGGACAAUGGGCGCAAGCCUGAUCCAGCCAUGCCGCGUGCAGGAUGACGGUCCUAUGGAUUGUAAACUGCUUUUGCACAGGAAGAAACAACAUUACGUGUAAUGUCUUGACGGUACUGUGAGAAUAAGGAUCGGCUAACUCCGUGCCAGCAGCCGCGAUAAUACGGAGGAUCCAAGCGUUAUCCGGAAUCAUUGGGUUUAAAGGGUCCGUAGGCGGUUUAGUAAGUCAGUGGUGAAAGCCCAUCGCUCAACGGUGGAACGGCCAUUGAUACUGCUAGACUUGAAUUAUUAGGAAGUAACUAGAAUAUGUAGUGUAGCGGUGAAAUGCUUAGAGAUUACAUGGAAUACCAAUUGCGAAGGCAGGUUACUACUAAUGGAUUGACGCUGAUGGACGAAAGCGUGGGUAGCGAACAGGAUUAGAUACCCUGGUAGUCCACGCCGUAAAACGNUGGAUACUAGNUGUUGGUAGGNGAUCUCAGUGGCGUAGACGAAAGUAGAGUAAGUAAGUACCGUACCGUUCGGGUUAGGUACGGUUCGGUUCGAAGAAGUUAGAACGUACGAAGGAAGUUAGUUACGGACGUUGAGACGUUGCCGACGGACGACGACGAGGGAGGUAGG
rnacentral:rRNA from 1 species